GGGGGCGUUUUGGAUUCGACGGGGACAGUUCGAGCAUGCACGGCGGGUCGUGGGGCCGCGAGGCCACGUUAAAAACGCGGACCUAAGAAUAACUGGCAAAGCUAAAAACCGUUUCACCUCAAACAGCAAUCUCGCCCUGGCUGCCUAAUCGCACCCAGGCCAUCGCUUCGUGAGUCGCUCGUGCUGACUUAGCGAUGUCAACUUAGCGAGCUAGCCAGUGUCCAGCGUUCGCGGCUCAUUGGCGAAAUUGAGCGAACUCACCCUUCGAUGAGCGUGUGAAACCGCGCAUCCUGGGGACAUUUAAAGGUUUCACUACACCCGUAGAAGUUCAUGUAGCGAGGUCUUCGGACGCGGGUUCGACUCCCGUCGCCUCCACCA
rnacentral:tmRNA from 1 species